UGGGCGUCGAGCGGCGGACGGGUGAGUAAUGCCUAGGAAAUUGCCUUGAUGUGGGGGAUAACCAUUGGAAACGAUGGCUAAUACCGCAUAAUGCCUACGGGCCAAAGAGGGGGACCUUCGGGCCUCUCGCGUCAAGAUAUGCCUAGGUGGGAUUAGCUAGUUGGUGAGGUAAUGGCUCACCAAGGCGACGAUCCCUAGCUGGUCUGAGAGGAUGAUCAGCCACACUGGAACUGAGACACGGUCCAGACUCCUACGGGAGGCAGCAGUGGGGAAUAUUGCACAAUGGGCGAAAGCCUGAUGCAGCCAUGCCGCGUGUAUGAAGAAGGCCUUCGGGUUGUAAAGUACUUUCAGUUGUGAGGAAGGGUGUGUAGUUAAUAGCUGCGCAUCUUGACGUUAGCAACAGAAGAAGCACCGGCUAACUCCGUGCCAGCAGCCGCGGUAAUACGGAGGGUGCGAGCGUUAAUCGGAAUUACUGGGCGUAAAGCGCAUGCAGGUGGUUCAUUAAGUCAGAUGUGAAAGCCCGGGGCUCAACCUCGGAACUGCAUUUGAAACUGGUGAACUAGAGUGCUGUAGAGGGGGGUAGAAUUUCNGGUGUAGCGGUGAANUGCGUAGAGAUCUGAAGGAAUACCAGUGGCGAAGGCGGCCCCCUGGACAGACACUGACACUCAGAUGCGAAAGCGUGGGGAGCAAACAGGAUUAGAUACCCU
rnacentral:rRNA from 1 species